rnacentral:snRNA from 1 species
AUACUUGCCUGCAGCGGGAGAUACCAUGAUCACAAAAUGGUUUUCCAGGUUAGUCCAUUGCACUCAGGAUGGGCCGACCAGUGAUUUCCCCCAAAUGUGGCAAAACUCAACUGCAUGAUGUUGUGGUGGUGGGGGACUGUUCCGUGUUUCUCCUC